UACGUAGGGUGCGAGCGUUAAUCGGAAUUACUGGGCGUAAAGCGUGCGUAGGCGGUUCGUUAAGUUCGUUGUGAAAGCCCCGGGCUCAACCUGGGAAUGGCAAUGGAAACUGGCGGGCUGGAGUAUGGCAGAGGGGGGUGGAAUUCCGCGUGUAGCAGUGAAAUGCGUAGAGAUGCGGAGGAACACCGAUGGCGAAGGCAGCCCCCUGGGUCAAGACUGACGCUCAGGCACGAAAGCGUGGGGAGCAAACAGG
rnacentral:rRNA from 1 species